UUCAUCCACACACCCCUGUGCACUCGUGAGACGGAGGCUUGCAAAGGUCUCCGUCUUAUUCACAUAAAAUCAUAUUAUUUAAAUCUGAAUGUAAUUGAUGUAACGCAUCUAAUACAAAGUUUCAACAACGGAUCUCUUGGCUCUCGCAUCGAUGAAGAACGCAGCGAAAUGCGAUAAGUAAUGUGAAUUGCAGAAUUCAGUGAAUCAUCGAAUCUUUGAACGCACCUUGCGCUCCUUGGUAUUCCUCGGAGCAUGCCUGUUUGAGUAUCAUGAAAUUCUCAAAGCAAGUCUUUUGUUAAUUCAAUUGGCUCUGUUUUGGAUUUGGGGGUUUGCAGAUUCACGUCUGCUCCUCUUAAAUGCAUUAGCUGGAUCUCCAUGAACUUGGUUCCACUCGGCGUGAUAAGUAUCACUCGCUGAGGACACCUGUAAAAAGGUGGCCAGGCUUGAGGAUGAGCCGCUUCUAACGGUCCAUUUGUUUGGACAACUUUUUAUGAUCUGAUCUCAAAUCAGGUAGGACUACCCGCUGAACUUAAGCAUAUCAAUAAGCGGAGGA
rnacentral:rRNA from 1 species